rnacentral:tRNA from 1 species
GGGGAUUUAGCUCAGUGGCAUAAGCACCUGCCUUGCAAGCAGGAGGUUGUGAGUUUGGUCCCCG